rnacentral:rRNA from 1 species
UACGGAGGGGACUAGCGUUGUUCGGAAUUACUGGGCGUAAAGCGCACGUAGGCGGAUUUGUAAGUCAGGGGUGAAAUCCCGGGGCUCAACCUCGGAACUGCCUUUGAUACUGCAAAUCUCGAGUCCGGAAGAGGUGAGUGGAAUUCCUAGUGUAGAGGAGAAAUUCGUAGAUAUUAGGAAGAACACCAGUGGCGAAGGCGGCUCACUGGUCCGGUACUGACGCUGAGGUGCGAAAGCGUGGGGAGCAAACAGG